rnacentral:lncRNA from 1 species
AUUCCUUUCUGGAAGAAAAACAACCGGGCGCUAUCUUGAGGAUUUACUGAGAAUGUCAGUGCUGCCAAAUGAAAGCAGAACUAAAAAGGAAAACACUUGUUUCUCAGGGGACGUAUAACGAAGAAGAAACAUCAGUUUGGCGGGCCAAAUUGAACGUCGCAACUAAAUAUUUAUAACAGUUAGAAUAACAUUGAAGAUGAGGUUCCGAGCAAAAAUGAAUGAUGUUCGUUGCCUUAAUAAUUUCACACACACUGUCCACCAAAGGAUCAUUAAUUUGAUUCUGCAGCACAAAGACGUGUCCCUGCAAUGCUUCAUCCCAGCGAUGGAGUUUGUUUUUCUUCUGGAUCCUGCUGGAAAGCUACUGGGUAGGGUAAAGGUCAGUGGUGAAACGUCACAACUCUGCAACUUGAGUAGGAUAACAACAUUUUCUCAGAGGUCCUCACUUGAAGGGUCGUUCAAGUGAAAUGAUCCGCUGGGAACAGUCCUUGCUAUCUGGGAUUCUUGGGACAUCCCUACACCAUUGAAGUAGAAAUUGAAAAUGGUUAAGUACGGGUUAUGAUUAAGGUUAGGUUUAGGGUUGGAGUUGGGACAUCCCAGUGAACUACGAGCUUCCGAUAACACGUGAACGUGGAAUUUAGACCUGGAACAAAGUUAGUAUAUUCUUUAUAGUUUACUCUUUUAUUUAAUAUGGUUAUAAACUUCUAUGUACGUUGCUACUCUAUUGCUGUUUUGCUGCAGGAUACAUAGUUUAAUAAUUCCACUCAAGAUGUAGCUAGCUUCAUGCCCUGCCUUUGUACACACAGUACGUUGUUUUCAUUUGACAAUAACUUUUCUCCAGAUAUAGGCUAUAAAAAAUAUAUAUUCUCCUUGUAGAUAUCUUGUGUGAUUUCUAGUGAAAAAUUGGUUAAACAAGUCAAUGUAUAUGGCAAUAGAGGAGGGAGAUUGAAGGAUAAGGACACUUUAGACAAGCUUAAACAACACCUACCUAUCUGUCUAGUGCGUUAUGUUAAGGGAUAAUCAAUGAGGGGCUAUUCGUUCUAUGGAAAAUAAUGAACAACGUGGAAGAUGUGCCCCACGACUUGCUAGCGGAGUGGAACUGACCUUCCACGGAGUUGCAUUAUUUUCCAAAUAAUGCAAGGGCCCCGAGAAAUAGACUUGCUAGUUUAGCUAACAAACCCAUUAAAAAAUAAAAUUCAACAAUGCCAAUGAUGUUUUCAACUGCCAAUCUAUACCUUUGCUAUUAGAAUAAUUUUUAUACAUGUAUAUAUUUUUAUUUUAUUUAUAU